CUCUGUAACAAACACACAGGCACAGACGCAGGGCCGGACACACAAAGCCUGACAUAAAUAGCCUUUAACACCCUUCCGGGAACCCAGCCACUGGACGGCUUCCAGGCAACGGAGAGAGAGAGAGAGAUGGAGGACACUGGGCACAAAAAAAAUCUCAUUAAAGAUCCCCACAGAGUGCAACCCGAUACACUCACUCUCUCACAUGCACAAAAUUGUUCUCAUUCAAUCACGCAUACGUACACAUGGAGUGCACACUGAAGAAGAAAAGUGCUCAGAAAUGGUUCUCAGAAUUCUCGCUGUUUGGAAAGGGGAGUUUGCAGAUUCAAAGAGAAAGCAGAGACGGAGAUAAAACACAAACUAACGAUCGCCUCUCGAGUUGAAGUCUGCAGCUCCUUCACCACCUACAGACGGAGGAGGAGGUUCGCUGUCAAUGAAAGGCCAUGUAGGCCACUGCACUGCCACACAUUUGUCAUCGGAGCCUUUAUCAGAACUUUAAGCUGAAACAUGCAAGCAUAGUUGAGGCUAUUUUGCUGUACAAAUAUAGUAAUUAAAGCUCAUUACAAUGAA